rnacentral:sRNA from 1 species
UGGAUCCAAAUGCAGCUUUGGCAUUUCAAUUAAGAGAAAAUGAUU